UACGAAGGGGGCUAGCGUUGUUCGGAAUUACUGGGCGUAAAGCGCGCGCAGGCGGCUAUCCAAGUCAGUGGUGAAAGCCCGGAGCUCAACUCCGGAACUGCCAUUGAAACUGUUUAGCUUGAGGAUGAGAGAGGUGAGUGGAAUUCCCAGUGUAGAGGUGAAAUUCGUAGAUAUUAGGAAGAACACCGGUGGCGAAGGCGGCCCACUGGAUCGGUACUGACGCUGAGGUGCGAAAGCGUGGGGAGCAAACAGG
rnacentral:rRNA from 1 species